GAUGAACGCUGGCGGCGUGCCUAAUACAUGCAAGUCGAGCGAACAGACUAGGAGCUUGCUCCUCUGACGUUAGCGGCGGACGGGUGAGUAACACGUGGAUAACCUACCUAUAAGACUGGGAUAACUUCGGGAAACCUGAGCUAUUACCGGAUAAUAUAUUGAACCGCAUGGUUCAAUAGUGAAAGACUGUUUUGCUGUCACUUAUAGAUGGAUCCGCGCCGCAUUAGCUAGUUGGUAAGGUAACGGCUUACCAAGGCAACGAUGCGUAGCCGACCUGAGAGGGUGAUCGGCCACACUGGAACUGAGACACGGUCCAGACUCCUACGGGAGGCAGCAGUAGGGAAUCUUCCGCAAUGGGCGAAAGCCUGACGGAGCAACGCCGCGUGAGUGAUGAAGGUCUUCGGAUCGUAAAACUCUGUUAUUAGGGAAGAACAAAUGUGUAAGUAACUAUGCACGUCUUGACGGUACCUAAUCAGAAAGCCACGGCUAACUACGUG
rnacentral:rRNA from 1 species